rnacentral:rRNA from 1 species
AGUCGAGGGGUAGAGGAAGCUUGCUUCCUUGAGACCGGCGCACGGGUGCGUAACGCGUAUGCAAUCUACCUUGUACAGGGGGAUAGCCCAGAGAAAUUUGGAUUAAUACCCCAUAGUGUAAUUGAAUGGCAUCAUUUAAUUACUAAAGUUCCAACGGUACAAGAUGAGCAUGCGUCCUAUUAGCUAGUUGGUGUGGUAACGGCAUACCAAGGCUACGAUAGGUAGGGGUCCUGAGAGGGAGAUCCCCCACACUGGUACUGAGACACGGACCAGACUCCUACGGGAGGCAGCAGUGAGGAAUAUUGGACAAUGGGCGCAAGCCUGAUCCAGCCAUGCCGCGUGCAGGAAGAAGCAUCUAUGGUGUGUAAACUGCUUUUGUACGGGAAGAAACACUCCUACGUGUAGGAGCUUGACGGUACCGUAAGAAUAAGGAUCGGCUAACUCCGUGCCAGCAGCCGCGGUAAUACGAAGGAUCCAAGCGUUAUCCGGAAUCAUUGGGUUUAAAGGGUCCGUAGGCGGUUUAAUAAGUCAGUGGUGAAAGCCCAUCGCUUAACGAUGGAACGGCCAUUGAUACUGUUAGACUUGAAUUAUUGGGAAGUAACUAGAAUAUGUAGUGUAGCGGUGAAAUGCUUAGAUAUUACAUGGAAUACCAAUUGCGAAGGCAGGUUACUACCAAUACAUUGACGCUGAUGGACGAAAGCGUGGGGAGCGAACAGGAUUAGAUACCCUGGUAGUCCACGCCGUAAACGAUGGAUACUAGCUGUUCGGAGCAAUCUGAGUGGCUAAGCGAAAGUGAUAAGUAUCCCACCU